UGCACAUGAGCCCCUUCGUCCAGAUGACAGAGCGUGUCCCCAGGGCGGGGGUGGGGGGCAGUCAUUGUGAUGUGUCGGAGCCUUGCCAGGAAUUGAACCAUGACGUCCAAGGGUGCUGAUCGUGGGAGCCAGCAUUGUCCCUUCAGGAACAGAAGGUCCUGUGUUGUGAGGGUCUCGGCCUCUCCAUAACCAAUGUCAAGGUCGGACCUGCCUUUGUGGUUCUGAUGACGACUGCAUAAGCUACAAAGGCCUGAGCAGCUCCUGGGAGUACAACCACCUGCAACCCCACCUGCUGUGUUCCUGCCUCAGUUGCUCUGCCCUGACAACUUGGUAUCUUCAGUCCUGCCCUGUUCUGUCCGUCCUCCCAUCACAGGGCCACGUCGCCACCAGAUGCUGGUGCUUCUGUGAAAUCGCCGCCUUCCAUCAUAAUUUGAAGGUCUUUAUGCCCGGCUUUGAUUUUUUUUCUUCUAUGACUAUGUGCAGAACACGGUCACUGCUUUCUUGAGUGUCUCUGGCUCUUCAGGUCUGAACUCUGUGUCCACAUCAGGAAUUCAGAGAAAAGUAACAAUGCUCUUGGUGUCGUUUCCGGUCUCCACGGUCCAUCUCUAAAGAGAAGUAGCAGAACUUGGACCAACAUGGAAUCCGUUCACCAUCUGACUCCUGAUGUCAUCCUCGAUGUCAUUCACACACGCCACCAGCCUGGUCAAUCUCUUUAAUAUGGCAAUGACAUG
rnacentral:lncRNA from 1 species